UACGGAGGGGGGCUAGCGUUGUUCGGAAUUACUGGGCGUAAAGCGCGCGUAGGCGGCUUUGUAAGUUAGAGGUGAAAGCCCGGAGCUCAACUCCGGAAUUGCCUUUAAGACUGCAUCGCUAGAAUCAUGGAGAGGUGAGUGGAAUUCCGAGUGUAGAGGUGAAAUUCGUAGGAUAUUCGGAAGAACACCAGUGGCGAAGGCGACUCACUGGACAUGUAU
rnacentral:rRNA from 1 species